rnacentral:tmRNA from 1 species
GGGGGUGACUUGGUUUCGACGGCGGUAUCGGACUCUAAGGUGCAUGUCGAGAGGGUAGUGACUCUCGCUAAUCAAUCGCUGCGACUUUUCGAUAGUUGCCAACGACAAUCGGUACGCAUUAGCGGCCUGAAGAGCUUGCUCUAGCAGCUCGUAGGUUGCUUGUCCCGGAGAUCUGCUUGCCCGUGGUGGAUUCUGGGAGCACGUGUCACGGGAUCGCGCGGACCCCCUCCUUCGAGGUUCGCGUUAGAGGACGAAGGAUCGCGGGCGUGCGCCCUGUUCGUCGGGCCGCACGGUGGCUAAACGCAAUGACGCAACUAAGCAUGUAGAGCCGAAGACGACGGGCCGACGGACGCGGGUUCGAGUCCCGCCACCUCCACCA